AGCAAACAGGAUUAGAUACCCUGGUAGUCACGCUGUAAACGAUGUCGAUUUGGAGUUUGUUGCCUAGAGUGAUGGGCUCCGAAGCUAACGCGAUAAAUCGACCGCUGGGGAGUACGGCCGCAAGGUUAAAACUCAAAUGAAUUGACGGGGGCCCGCACAAGCGGUGGAGCAUGUGGUUUAAUUCGAUGCAACGCGAAGAACCUUACCUGGUCUUGACAUCCAUAGAAUUCUGCAGAGAUGUGGGAGUGCCUUCGGGAACUAUGAGACAGGUGCUGCAUGGCUGUCGUCAGCUCGUGUUGUGAAAUGUUGGGUUAAGUCCCGCAACGAGCGCAACCCUUAUUCUUUGUUGCCAGCGAUUUGGUCGGGAACUCAAAGGAGACUGUCGUUGAUAAAGCGGAGGAAGGUGGGGACGACGUCAAGUCAUCAUGGCCCUUACGACCAGGGCUACACACGUGCUACAAUGGCGUAUACAAAGGGAAGCGAAGGUGCGAGCUGGAGCGGAUCUCAUAAAGUACGUCUAAGUUCGGAUUGGAGUCUGCAACUCGACUCCAUGAAGUCGGAAUCGCUAGUAAUCGUAGAUCAGAAUGCUACGGUGAAUACGUUCCCGGGCCUUGUACACACCGCCCGUCACACCAUGGGAGUGGGUUGCACCAGAAGUAGAUAGCUUAACCGCGAGGGGGGCGUUUACCACGGUGUGAUUCAUGACUGGGGUGAAGUCGUAACAAGGUAACCA
rnacentral:rRNA from 1 species